CAUGUAAGAUUAUGAAACAUUGGCUUAACCUCAUUAUUAAUUGUAUGGUGGUAAGGUAAUACAUCGCCGUCGCCUCCUAAAUGAACAUUACUAGCAUGAGACAUUCCUUGAAGAAACUUUUGAAUCUGAAAGAUGUAUUGUUCUGCAUUUGUCCUCGUCCUAAUGCUUAAUUCAGGGGUAAUGUCAACACAAUAUGAGGCUAAUCGAGUAGGAUUCCUAACAAAGACGUAAUAUGAAUUAUAAUCGCUCACCAUUAGGUCUGCCAAUUCGGGUGCAUCAAUAACACAGAUGGGAAUACAAAUUACAUGAGGUGGUAUUCAAACUUCCAAGAAGCUCCAUGAAUUCUGAGAUGUUGUGCAUUGGUUAUCACAUCCAGUCAUCAAAUCAAAGCUUUACCUUAACAAAGGAGGUCUCACCCGUUAUUGUGUGUGCCAGGAAUAAUUAAUGGAAGUAUUUCCACACAUGCAAUAAAUAAGCCUGGAAAAGGAUCUCAGAUGUCACCAGUUUCAUCUCCUAAUUCUCCAUUUAUCAUAUGCACAAGUAAAGUUCACACAAAUGAGACCAACAGAACGGCAAGGAAGCACAAAAAAUGCAGUACAAACUACAGAGGCUGGAGACAUGGUUCAUCAAUCGCAUGAUGGAAGUUGCUCUAGCAUUGUGAUAUGCAUAAUGAAAAUACCAGGGUGUAAUGGACCAUAUCAUCAGUCGUACAACCAAGCCACCUAUUAACUUAGUCUACAACAGAAGACAAAGAAAGAGACAAGAGGAGACAGAGCAGUCAGCAGCAGUCUUACAGGAGACAAGCAGAAAGCCACAACAGUAGGUGGGAGUGGAGGAAACAACCGUUGGCAACAAGCAAACAAAAGUAGUAAAAGUAGUAAUUAAUGUAAGGUACUUGAGGAAUACCUUGAGUAUAUAUGUAAGGGGAAGAAAGAGAGGAAGGCAUUGAGAAUUGUACUGAGUAAACUUGAGAGACUUGUAACCUAAAGUUACUAUUGAGAUUGGCAGCCUCAAGUUGCUGUGUUACUCUUACAACUAUUAAUCAAAGCUUCCACUUUCUAGUA